rnacentral:sRNA from 1 species
AGGCAAUGCCUUUUCAGGCAUCCUCUCCCAUAACUUUCAAGCCCGGUCGGAAACGACCGGGCUUUUUUCUUGCCGAUU